UUAGAAAAGCUCAUCUCGGAUAAUAAUCAUAUCUCGUGGCAUCACCGAGUACUGACAAGUCAAGGGUAGCGUGAGCAAUACAACAGCAUAUUGAAAUUGACUGAACUGGUCCUUUAAGCCUACUUGCCCAAGAAUAUGGCAAUAAGAGUACUUUCAUCUGUGUGACAGUGACCUAUACAUAUUCUACAUAUUGUGCUAUCAUGCAGUUAUGUUAUGCCCAUUCACUUUCAUUUGAUUUUUAAGUGAAAACGAAAGGAUGUACGUGGUCUACACUUCUGUACACAGACUCGUGUGCACAAACAAAUCUCAAGACAACCGAUCACAAGUUAUCUGUAUUGUAAAGUGAUCGUCUGUUUUUAAAUACAGCUGAUAUAAACUCUCCUGACCUUAACCUUAACGGAGCACAGUGGAAGUUGUCUAAACUAUAUUUCUCAACCUAACCUUUAACUGUCAGUUGCUUUGGUUAAAAGCGUCAGCUAAAUGUAAUGUAAUGUAAUCUCUCCCCCACUUUCAGUUGCUGUCGAAUGACCGUGCUGACCUCCAAGCUGAGCUAUGGCAAGGCAGUAAACACAUCAGUGGUUUUGGACCAACCAGCUCUCCAGCUGCAUCACUGAAUCGGUGGAACCGCACAAACUACAAGUCUGCUGUGCCUCAUGCAUACUCCCGGCCGACCACAGUGCAAGAUUUAACUACUUAUAACAAGGGACAACAUGGCAUCCCCCACAUCCUUUCCCAUGGUGUUGUCUCAAUGUUUUUGAAGUAUCUGGUUUGUGUGUGUGUUUAAGUUACUACUUCUGACCACGUACUAUCAAUAGGUGUCUUAACACUUCAGAGUAACAAGAGAAAUCAGAGCAGGCCAAAUUAUAAGUAAAGUUCAUAAAGGCUGGAGCAGGCUUCACCCAACAAUUUUUCUCUUCUUUUAAGGGUGCUGACUAAAAUAUUGUAAAACUGAAAAAUGAAAAAAGGUUGCAUCAUGCAUAGGUUUCUUUAUUACGCAGACGCGUUUCGGCGUUCUGCCUUCCUCAUUGUAAUAAAGAAACCUAUGCAUGGUGCGACCUUUUUCCAUUUUUCAAAUUAUAAGUAGCACAUUUACACCCUACUAUAGUAUCACAAGGGAUUGGUGACUUUGGUGAAUAAAAUAGGAAGUAAGUAUAUUUCAGCCCUUAAGACUCAGAGAGAGAGGAAUUGGUUAAGUGUGAUUUAAUGAGAAGAUAAUUGACUAUGCAUUUAACAGAAGGUAGACAGUCUUUGGCGUAGGUCCAAUCAUCAGCCCGGGUCUUCUUGCGCCAGUAGAGCCUGAUGUAGCUGUGCAGCAGGAAGCGGACCUUUAACCCCGCAGACAGGUAGACUGGACCAACCUGGUGCUGGUGGGGAUGGAGGAGGAGAUUUUUAACCACCGAACCUGCAACAGCAAGAGUUAGACAUGUCACUAUAAAGGGAAGUGGUGGUUGCUGAUUGGCUCUGCAAAAUGCACAUGUGGCAUUCGAAUCUUACUAGCAGAACUAGCGCUGGCUACUCUCCUCUAAAUCAACACAAAAUGUCAAGUUAUUGUGUGCCUUAAUAAUGCAACAUGUGCAAAUGUUCAAGAUGCCUUGCCUUGCAUUUAUUUUAAUAACAUGACUUUUCAAAUCACAAUUUUAUGCAACAGUAUGUAUACAUUUUAUUUUUAAAUGAUUGAAUGAAUGGAUGAUAGCUUGAGUUGUGACUCCUUGCAUUUUGUUUUAAAAACAAUUAAUUCUGUUAAACAUUCUUACGCAAAGGACUUUUCCCUAUUUGAAUGUCAUACAAAAUUGAAAUUAAACAUUGAGUGUUUGCUCCUUA